CCCAGCUCCACCUCUCCUAGACCCACUUAAGAGUUGACUACUGGCAGGGAAGGUUCUCUUCUGGAGAUCCCCUCCUCUGGAGUUUCAUAACAAUCUCAGGAUGCGGGUUAAGGAAGACCAUGUUUCAGCCUGACUCUAGUUGAAUACGAAAGUGUUGCAGCGUUGCGAUGGUGACUUUGGGUAUGAGCGAUUGCAAAUGGAUUUCUCUUCCCAGUGUCUACAUGCCUGUGGAGCUGCAUCCAGCCUAGAGUUUCCACAGGUACUUCCCUCUGCAGCAGUACAACUUAAAGGAGAUGAGAUGCUGUUCCAGGAGUGGGAGAAGUUCAAGGACAGAGACAGCUUACUAAUGUGGAAGAGGCUGUCAAGCUACAUAGACUUAAAUAUCUGCUCCCAGUUCUGGCUAAUGUUUUAGACAUAUGCAUUGAUAAUACAGUCAUGCUGUGUAUGAAAGCAAUCACUUUGUGAAUCUCAUGUUAUAUUCAUAUGUGAACGUAUUUUAGAAAAAUUGUUUUCUUUUCAAAGACAAAUCACUCAUUGCAUCUUUAUACUUGAUUUCAUUCAAAUGGAGUGUGAUGCUACAAUUUCAGCACAGGGUAUAAACCUUUAAUCCAUAAAGACUGAGGAAUGCAUUCUCUGCCUGAGACAAACAUAACUCCAUUAUCAUUGGUAGCGGUGUGCUUGUAUACCAAGGGUACAGAAGUAUAGAUUGCAGAAAAACUGGAUUUUAUUUGUCACCCUCAAAAUGCUUGGUUUGUUUAUCAAAUAUUGUGAAUUGGAAGCUAUGCUUGAUUGAAGGCUGAAAAAAUACCCCCAUGCAAUCUCCUGAAAUAAGGAUAUUAACAGAGCAACAACAAUCAUGGUUCAAAAACUGUAAAUUGGUUUGCAAGCUUUGUCUUCUGUAGUUUGUUUGAAGUCCCACUACUAGAAGUCCUUUGUAAUGGAUGUAUUCCCUUGGUUUAUUACAUCAGCCAGAAUCCCUUCUUUCACAGAAAAACUUUGGGGGAAAAAAAAAUAAAUCUAUUUUUUAGUUAAUGUUUUUAAGACUGGAAUGAAAGAUCUUUGAAUGGGUUGCAUGGUGUAGAAAACAGGGACUUCUUUCUGUGUAGAAUAUUUUUCCAGUUCAAUGGGAAGAGUACGAUGAUAGUUUUCAAUGUUCUCCAAAUGGUGAUUGAGCUGUGAGAAAUCUACCCUUUUUCAUUCUUAAGCAGCUGAUGAAGAGCUGUUAUUUUGCUGUGCUGUCAUUUUCCUCAACUGUUAAACCCUAAUGGAAAGCCUGUGUUUUAAAUGAAAUUAACAUUUUAAAAAGUAUUUAAGUAAAGAAUUUGUCAUGUGACUGUGUUAUUUCUUUCAGUGAGGCUUGGGCACCCGAUGCCUCUUACACUCUUAACUCCAGGCAUCUGUAUUUCUUCAGGUAAUUGAAUACUUCAAGAAACAAGGCCCUAAAUGCCUGCUUAGCUCUGCUUUGUUCCAGUCUUUAGGGGUGGCAGUAAGUGGAAGCUUACUGGAGUGUGUGCUCCAGGAGUCUGUAGCAGCUGUUUGACUGCAGAUGCCCUAGAGCCCAGCCGAAAGCCUACUGAAGUCAGUGGAAGGCAUCUCUUUAACCUUCUGAGCUCUUUGUUUAGCCUAUGAGCUCAUCAGGCAUGUAGCUGUCACUUUAUUUCAUGUUUGUACAGUUCUGGGUACCACAAGGCUCUAUUAAUCAUUGAUUUCUGGGCACUGUUGCA